AAGAAAAACAUUUCACAAGACCAGUUUUAAUUACCUUCUAGGUUGCGCAUUAUUAUGUAGGAAUGUAACUCUAUAAUAAUUAUUAUAAGUGUAGGUACCUAUAACUAUUCAAGUUUCAACCCAUUAGGUUUCUAAGCUUUUUAUUUAUACAAAUACCUAUAAAUUUCAUUUUUCUGGAAUUAUUUUAAAAAGAACAGACUAUCAUGAUUGACAUGGCGUGUUAGUAUUUAGGUACAAUAAGCCUCUUAUGGAGUGCAGCCUUGUAACUGACGAUAAUUUAAUAAACAGGCUACGGUUUACAACAGUCUGAAUGUUUUUUCCAAACAAAACUUUUUCAGUAUGUACUUUGCAAAGUUAACCUUUUAUAGUGAAAUUUUACAUUGAAAUUAAGUAAUCAUUACUGUUUUAUAUUUUGUUUAGAAUAUUUUAUAUUAAUAUCAUUGAAUCUAUAGUAUAUAUAUGGUUCAUGGGUAAAGCAACAGAGGACGUCGGUAAUGUACCUAAUUAUAAACAAAUAAUGAUAAUAUUCUGAUGAACUAAGAUUAUCAUAUACUUCUGCAAAAUCAAUGAAUAUCCAGUGUCAUGGCAUACGUCGAUGUGCUUCAAAGU